AAGUCGUAACAAGGUUUCCGUAGGUGAACCUGCGGAAGGAUCAUUAGUGAUUUGACCCUCGUGGUCUACAAUCUCAUCCUUCAUACCUCUGUGAACCGUUUGGCCCUCGGGCCUCACAACCAUACAAACAACACUGUAUUGAACGUGAAACAAACAUAAACAAAACAAAACUUUUAACAACGGAUCUCUUGGCUCUC
rnacentral:misc_RNA from 1 species